rnacentral:rRNA from 1 species
AACGAACGCUGGCGGCAGGCCUAACACAUGCAAGUCGAACGCCCUAGCAAUAGGGAGUGGCAGACGGGUGAGUAACGCGUGGGAACCUUCCCUAUGGUGCGGAAUAACUCGCCGAAAGGCGUGCUAAUACCGCAUAAGCCCGCAAGGGGAAAGAUUUAUCGCCAUAGGAUGGGCCCGCGUAGGAUUAGCUAGUUGGUGAGGUAAUGGCUCACCAAGGCGACGAUCCUUAGCUGGUGAGAGAAUGACCAGCCACACUGGGACUGAGAC